rnacentral:lncRNA from 1 species
AUACUGUAUAUAAAAUGCAAUGUUUGUCUGUCAUUCUGUUCCGUAUAGGCUCACACCAUUUAAUUUAUCAAGAUCAAACUUUGAAGAUGACUUUUCAUGACCCUGCGAGUAAUUUAGGAUAUCAAAAAUCAAACGGAAGGAUAAUCAUUGGUAAUAAUCUAAAUUACCAAUUUGCGGAGGAGCAAAUUACGGUCGUUCUUUCUAUCUGUUCCGUGUAGGUUCCCACACCGUUUGACCUAUCGAGACUAACCUUUGCAGAUUGACUUCUUAUGACCUGUAGGUAACAUAUGAAGUCACUCUGAUGAUAACUGUAAUGCGGGUAACUUUGCGGGAUUCUCAUGACCCUGCGUGUAAAAAAAUCAAAAUCGUCGCAAAAGGUGGGACACAUUUUGGUCAUUCCUGUUGUCUGUCUGUUCCACUUAGGUUCCCACACCGCUUCACCUAUCGGCACCAAACUUUGCAGGGUCAUUCCUCACAAGCAACGUAGUGUACUCUGGGUCAAAAUCGCCCCAGGGAUGGGGCAUUUUAAGGUCGUAAUUUAAAAUACGUCAUUAAAUCCUUCAGCCUAUUGUUGAAAUUCUCACAAGCAUGACGUUACCAUGAUGUAACAAUGAAUGUCGUCACACUCAUCAUCAGUGUGUGACAUCAUUAUGACGUACUGUUACAUCAAAGAGUUUGUCCAUACGAAGUAACAAUGAAUGACAUCUCAAAAUGUUAUCAGAGAGAGAGAGAUCAAUACGUCACAGCAAUGAAUUCACAAAUUUCGACGUAUAAAGUAGCGAUGAAUGAUGCCAGAAAACGUCAGAAUGUGUUGUCAUAGUUACCUAGCAAUGACGUCACUAGCUGAGUAAUAUCUUUUUAUGAUGUAAUUUUGAUAUCAUUGAUCAUUGCGGCGUAGCAUUGAGUGCCGUCAUAAAUAUUCUAACGUUCAACGUAAAAUGGAUGAUGUCCAGAACGUCAUCAGUGGGUGUCGUCACAAUAGUUCCAAUGUACGAUGUAACAAUAGAUGAUGUCACGGAUCGUCACCAGUGCUUGAUAAUAUAUGAUAUGAUAUAUAAAUCAGUGGUCUCCAAAGUGAUAGUCCGCGAGAAAAUUUCGCUGGUCCCCAGAAAAAUGUGGAAUAUACUUACUCAUUUAUUUUAUUUGUUUAUUUUAUUAUGGUUUAUUAAUAAAGCUUUCAUAAUUUGGUUACAGUUAACACUUAAAAAAUCCUAUUAGUGGUCCAUGGGAUUUAAAUUAUGAAUUUACUGGUCCAUGAGGUCAAAAAGUUUGGCGACCGCUGGUGUAAGACAUAGGAAUGCAAGCACGUUCAACUUUUGUCUAGUACGUGCUAGGCAAAGGAGCACAAAGGGUUAAAGU